AGCUCGUGUCGUGAGAUGUUGGGUUAAGUCCGUAACGAGCGCAACCCUUGUCCUUAGUUACCAGCACGUUAUGGUGGGCGACUCUAAGGAGACUGCCGGUGACAACCGGAGGAAGGUGGGGAUGACGUCAAGUCAUCAUGGCCCUUACGGCCUGGGCUACACACGUGCUACAAUGGUCGGUACAAAGGGUUGCCAAGCCGCGAGGUGGAGCUAAUCCCAUAAAACCGAUCGUAGUCCGGAUCGCAGUCUGCAACUCGACUGCGUGAAGUCGGAAUCGCUAGUAAUCGUGAAUCAGAAUGUCACGGUGAAUACGUUCCCGGGCCUU
rnacentral:rRNA from 1 species